AAGAAAAAAAAAAAAAAAAAAAAAAAAAAAAAAAAAAAAACAUGGCCUCUCUCAUUCCACAUCUCCUGCGAUCUUCGAUCUACCUCAUCUCGCGUCGAUCACCUCUCCCACCGUGACAAAGCUCUGCUAGGUCGAUCUGCCUCUCCGAUUGUAGAUGAACUCCUCCGAGAGGAGAUGAUGAGUCUCCCCUCGACUCCGCCAUGUUGAUCUCUUCGAGAGCUCCAUUUCCCACAAGACCAAUCCUCUCCUCAGGAGAUGUUUCGACUUCGCAGCUUCUUCUCCUGAUGAGAGUAUCUACUGCGCUACACUGGAAUUGGGUUAAUUACAUGCAUCAGAUUGGGAACAUACUUCUAAAGCAUUGAAACAUGGAAGAAUUGUGCACUCACCUCAAGCUCGAUGGAAGUGCAAGCUGAUAGGCGAUGGGACUAAUCUGCUCCGAGACUCGAUAAUAUGAGGGCUCAUCUUACCGUUAAGUCCAAAUCUUCCAAUUCCCUUCGAUAGCGCUGCCUUGUGAAAGACAUGGUCGCCCACUUGAAAUUCCAAAUUGCGGAGCGUUGGUCGGCACAAGUUUUUUUAUCAGCUUUGAGUAGUCAAGAGUUGUUGUAGUGCUAUUCUGUUCUUCUCCUUGGUAUACUCAACUAGCUCGGCUCGAGAAUUUUUCUUUUGGCUAUACCAUCCCAACAUAUUGGCGAUCGACAUUUCUGCCGAUAUAGGGCCUCGUAAGGUGGCAUCCCAAUACUCGAUUAAAAGCUUUAUUGGAAGCCAAUUCUACUAGAGGUACUUGUACCAUCCAUCCCUAUAUUCAGGAGAAGGAAUUCCGGUCAUAACUUGGGGUGCUAUUUCCGGUUAAUCCCGCACGUAAGGACGGGAAUACGUCUUAGGGCAGUGCCUCGCACGCUUCCGGAUAAGAUCAAAUUUUUAUUGGAAUAUUUGCGUCAUCUGUAAGUUUGAUUUAUUUAUCGUUAUCACAAAAUUAGUUAGAUUUUAAUCACAAUCAUAUUUUCGCUCCGGUAUUUGUUCCAACACCAAGAACCUUAUAAAGAUUCUUCAAAAUAAGUGUGCCUGUUACACACAAUUGACAUCGGUACUCUACAAAGUCUCACAAUCUCGUCGAUGUAUAACUGUACCAGCUUGUUCCUCGUCUAGGUUGUAUGAAUAAGUUGUUGGCAGAUUUCAUCAAUCAAUCCAGCAAGCCGGUAAUGAAAUCUAUAGAGAUUUGCUCCCACUUCCAGAUACGUAUAGAUUGGCUCUGCAAAUUUUUUCGUUGUUGCUGAUGCUCGACCUUUACAUGUUGACACACCAAAUAGUAAUAUACUGCACAUUGUCACUCUUCAUCCCAGGUCAUCAAUAGUGCUUCUUCAAUCUCUAUAAAUCUUUAUGCCGCCUGGAUGAAUAGUGUAGGGUAAGCAAUGUGCCUCUAUUUGAACCUUAUCCUCGAGCUCAUAGUUGUUGGGCGCAUACAAUUGAUCGCGAAGCCUCAAGGAGCCAUUGACUUGGACAUUGAAGUCACUUGCCUUCCCAUCCUACGAGUCAGCACUCUACAUUCCUUGAUUCCCUCCACAAAAGCAGGUUGCACCACCAAGGUUAUGAUGUAGGCCCUAGUGUCGAGAGUACGGGUGAAAACGGAUCGGAUAUGGCCAGAUAUUUGACGAAACCAUAUCCGCAUCCUUUUUUCUUUUCCCUGGAUACUGAUUUGGAUAUGGAUAUGUGUCUGCUGUUAAAUUUUUAUUACUAUAUCCGCUAAAGAUGGAUUCGAAUA